rnacentral:rRNA from 1 species
GACGAACGCUGGCGGCGUGCUUAACACAUGCAAGUCGAGCGGAGCGGCGAACGGGUGAGUAACGCGUGAGUAACUGCCCCCCUCUCUGGGAUACCAGUUGAAAACGGCUGCUAAUACCGGAUAGUGGGGGAUGAUUCGCGUCCUAUCAGCUUGUUGGUGGGGUAGGGGCCUACCAAGGGGACGACGGGCAGCCGGCCUGGGCGGGGGACCGGCCACAUUGGUCUGAGAUACGGCGCAAACUCCUACGGGAGGCAGUAGUGGAGAAUCUGGCACAAUGGGGGAAAGCCGGAUGAAGCAACGCCGCGGGCGGGAUGACGGCCUGCGGGUUGUAAACCGCUUUCAGCCAUGACGCGGUAGUGGAAGAAGAAGCACCGGCUAACUACGUGCCAGCAGCCGCGGUAAUAC